CGCGGCCCACCGGUCUAAGUCAUUUUUAACAGCCUGGGAAAUUAUCUUGUCUUCGCAUUCUUGCCUCUGCUGGCGAGCCAGGUUGGGAUCUCCAGUAUCACAUCAAAUAAUAAAGGUGAUCACCAAAGGGAAACUCUUUCUAAAAGAAAGGAGGUGCCUCUGUGUUUAAGUCUCCAGGAGAGCAGUGCGUAUGCAGCCAUUAGGACGGAGAGCUGCUCUUCAGCAACCAUGGAUUCAGGGAGACAAUGGAGCAAGGCUUUCACGGCUCUGAGGGAAA